GCUAAGACGUGUGCUGAGGGGCCACUUAGUCCGCAACAGAGUGUAGAGCCGCGCUUUGGCAAUAGAGUUUGCUUUGGCAUCGGCUAUGUUCCUCAGAGCCGGCGACACCGGCAAAUAUUAAUUCGUCGGCCGCAUCACAGACGGGCACAAUCUGUAUACGUUGGUUUCUCUGGUCGACUGGCGCUGAUCGCAGCUUGGGCAGCACUGCAUGCAAGUAGAUCAUCGGAGCACAGUAAUCGGCAAGCGCUGAUUUCAACCGCCGUUGUGCUGACAAGCAUACGGCUAUCUUGGCACGUGGACUUCACGCCUACCAUCCCCGCCAGUCGAUAUCACCGUGGCCACCUGGUGACACCUCGCAACGCUACCACUGAACUGGACCGCUCCGUGGCGCCGCCAGCACUAUAAAAAAGGGAUCCGUUUCGUCCUGCGCUUCACUUGGCAGCAGCAGCCGUGGCAACACACCACUAAGCAGUACUUUUUUGGCUACGCAGCCCACAUCUGCGGAUGCGCAGAGCGGCAACAGCGCAGUGUCACAGCAUGUGGCGCGACGAGAACGCCGCCAUCACCGAUGCGGCAAGCCGAUGGUGCACGGGCGUCGACGCCCGACGAGCGGAUUCGGCUGCUCCCUGUGCAGCGCCCCGAUAUACAGGGCGCGCAGCACAGCUCCUCGGCAGGCACGCCAGCAGCGGAGCGCUCCGCACGAGUCCUCGGUCCAGCCAGUGGCGCUGCUUCCGUUUGGCUCCGUCGUUGUGCGCGGGCGAACGCGCUGCCCGCCUCCGAAGACCCGCUAACCCUCUGCACGGGCUGCGCGUGCGCUGCAGAUACCGUAAUGACAUGGCGGCGGUGGGGCCAACGGGCCUCGAGCUAUACUG